rnacentral:rRNA from 1 species
AUUGAACGCUGGCGGCAUGCCUUACACAUGCAAGUCGAACGGCAGCACGGGAGCAAUCCUGGUGGCGAGUGGCGAACGGGUGAGUAAUAUAUCGGAACGUGCCCAGUCGUGGGGAUAACGUAGCGAAAGCUACGCUAAUACCGCAUACGAUCUAUGGAUGAAAGCGGGGGAUCGCAAGACCUCGCGCGAUUGGAGCGGCCGAUAUCAGAUUAGGUAGUUGGUGAGGUAAAGGCUCACCAGGCCGACGAUCUGUAGCUGGUCUGAGAGGACGACCAGCCACACUGGGACUGAGACACGGCCCAGACUCCUACGGGAGGCAGCAGUGGGGAAUUUUGGACAAUGGGCGCAAGCCUGAUCCAGCAAUGCCGCGUGCAGGAUGAAGGCCUUC